UGGGGAAUAUUGGACAAUGGGCGGAAGCCUGAUCCAGCAACGCCGCGUGAGGGAUGACGGCCUUCGGGUUGUAAACCUCUUUCAGCGGGGACGAAGCGCAAGUGACGGUACCCGCAGAAGAAGCACCGGCCAACUACGUGCCAGCAGCCGCGGUAAUACGUAGGGUGCGAGCGUUGUCCGGAAUUAUUGGGCGUAAAGGGCUCGUAGGCGGUUUGUCGCGUCGGGAGUGAAAACCAUGGGCUUAACUCAUGGCUUGCUUCCGAUACGGGCAGACUAGAGGUAUGCAGGGGAGAACGGAAUUCCUGGUGUAGCGGUGAAAUGCGCAGAUAUCAGGAGGAACACCGGUGGCGAAGGCGGUUCUCUGGGCAUUACCUGACGCUGAGGAGCGAAAGUGUGGGGAGCGAACA
rnacentral:rRNA from 1 species